UACGUAGGGGGCAAGCGUUGUCCGGAAUUAUUGGGCGUAAAGAGCGCGUAGGCGGUCCGGUAAGUCGGUUGUGAAAGUCGGGGGCUCAACCCUCGGAUGCCGAUCGAUACUGUCGGGCUAGAGUCCGGAAGAGGCGAGUGGAAUUCCUGGUGUAGCGGUGAAAUGCGCAGAUAUCAGGAGGAACACCGGUGGCGAAGGCGGGUCUCUGGGCCGUAACUGACGCUGAGGAGCGAAAGCGUGGGGAGCGAACAGG
rnacentral:rRNA from 1 species